UAGCCUACGGGGGGCAGCAGUGAGGAAUAUUGGUCAAUGGCCGAGAGGCUGAACCAGCCAAGUCGCGUGAGGGAAGACGGCCCUACGGGUUGUAAACCUCUUUUGUCGGGGAGCAAAGCGAGUCACGUGUGACUCAUUGAGAGUACCCGAAGAAAAAGCAUCGGCUAACUCCGUGCCAGCAGCCGCGGUAAUACGGAGGAUGCGAGCGUUAUCCGGAUUUAUUGGGUUUAAAGGGUGCGUAGGCGGACUGUUAAGUCAGCGGUAAAAGCCCGGGGCUCAACCCCGGCGAGCCGUUGCAACUGGCU
rnacentral:rRNA from 1 species